rnacentral:rRNA from 1 species
GAUAACCCCUUGAAAAAGGGUAUAAUACCCGAUAGGUCUCGAUUGCUGGAAUGCAUCGAGAUUUAAAGCUCCGGCGCCUAAGGAUGGGUCUGCGGCCUAUCAGGUAGUAGUGGGUGUAGCGUACCUACUAGCCUACGACGGGUACGGGUUGUGAGAGCAAGAGCCCGGAGAUGGAUUCUGAGACACGAAUCCAGGCCCUACGGGGUGCAGCAGGCGCGAAAACUUUACAAUGCUGGCAACAGCGAUAAGGGAACCUCGAGUGCCAGGUUACAAAUCUGGCUGUCGAGAUGCCUAAAAAGCAUUUCAUAUCUAUGGCCGGGCAAGACCGGUGCCAGCCGCCGCGGUAACACCGGCGGCUCGAGUGGUAACCGCUAUUAUUGGGUCUAAAGGGUCUGUAGCCGGCCGGAUAAGCCUCUUGAGAAAUCUGGCAGCUUAACUGUCAGGCGUUCAGGAGAUACUGUCUGGCUCGAGGCCGGGAGAGGUGAGAGAUACUUCAGGGGGUAGGGGUGAGAUCUUGUAAUCUCUGAAGAGACCACCAAUGGGGAAGACGUCUCGCCAAAAAAAGACCUGUUCGAGCGCCGGACGAUAUCUACUGGUGCCAACAAGGAUUAUAUAAGAGGAGACUCCUCCCACCCAGAGACACUCUCCAAGAUGUCGACAACCUCCGCGCCCAACCGUUUGACGCACCUCCUAAGUCCUCCGGGCAACCAACCCAAAAUUGGUUACCUCCCGGAAGCAUGAAUAAUAAUUCUAGCUAAAUUGCCGAGAGAGGCUUCACCCAGGGCGGCUACCUAGCUUUUUAAAAUCGAAUUAAAAGCGUGUAACUCCUUCCGGCGCCCUGAUGUUACCUAUGAGGGCUGGGGCCGAAAUUCUUGUGCCGGCACUAUGUAUAAAAAGUGUUUUAUU